rnacentral:rRNA from 1 species
UACGUAGGGGGCUAGCGUUGUUCGGAAUUACUGGGCGUAAAGCGCACGUAGGCGGCUUUGUAAGUUAGAGGUGAAAGCCCGGGGCUCAACUCCGGAAUUGCCUUUAAGACUGCAUCGCUCGAAUUGUGGAGAGGUAAGUGGAAUUCCGAGUGUAGAGGUGAAAUUCGUAGAUAUCGAGAGGAACACCGGUGGCGAAGGCGGCCUUCUGGACAGUGACUGACGCUGAGACGCGAAAGCGUGGGGAGCAAACAGG